rnacentral:tRNA from 1 species
GCGCCCGUAGCUCAGCUGGAUAGAGUAUUGGUUUCCGAAGCCAAGGGUCGUGGGUUCGACUCCGCGCCGGGCGCACCA